rnacentral:lncRNA from 1 species
GAAAAAAUUGCACACAUUUAAUCUUUAUCUGAUUGUUUGCAGUCUUGGGAAUCUGGAGAGAUGGAGAAAACUUUGGAACACAAGGUUUGGCAAAGGAGAAUGGUGAAACAUAUCUUGGCAUAUAUUUGAAGAAUAACAUAGUUUAAAAUAAUAAUUAAAGGCACAUCCUGCUUUUCUCUGCAGUCAGUCACAGGCAACUGUUAAAUCCUCCCCUGCACCUUCCCUUUCCUGUUUCGGGGUCUCAAGCUGCUUCAGCUUUGGGGUUAGGAGACGGCUUCUUUAUCGUUAAUGGCGCCAUUACUCCAAUGGAAGGAAGAGAAAGGGGGGAGCGGAGGAAGAGGCCACGUGCAGUGAGUGUGGGAACCAGAAGCAGGCCCUCCUCCCCCCAGCAGGAAGCAUCCGCCUUGAGGGUAAUAUAAGGGCUGAGGGAUGCUCUGCCCGCCCCGCCCAAGAAUGUGCCUGGAACUUUCCGACCAAUGGCCUGGUUGCCUGGGCUCCCAACGGUCUUCGAAGUCUGCAGCAUCAUCAUGGCCGUCAUAAGCAGCAUUGCUGUGGUAACGGUAAGUGGACAAGAACAACCUGUGGCUGGGGGUCAGUGCUCCAGGAGCUGGGGAGGAGGGGCUGGACCGGGCUUUCUCGCCAAUUGUUUCCUUUCAGCAUUUCUGGCCUUCUGUUCUGGAGAACAUUCUGCUACCCGUGUCUGUCCUCCCAAUUGUCCAUGGUGUCUGCUAACAGGACAAGAGAGCAGGCCUUGGGAGCUGAGAUGGGACCUUUAGUGGCUAUAAAUGCGGAUUUACUUGGAUUUGGAAUGUAUGAGCUGUGUGACCCCUAAACAAGAAACCCUUUGUCCCUUUAUGUCAAUUUACUCUUCUGGAAAGGGAUAAUAAUAUCAUCCACCUCCCAAGGUUGGUGUGAGGAUCACAGGAUGGUAAAGUGCUUAACACAGGACCUGGCACUGGGAAGUGCUACAUGAAUGUUAACUGAUUUUCUUUUUUUCUUUAAUCAGGUGCAGUUGUUUCCCAAUGGAUGUUUCUAUAUGGGCAUUUAAAUGUCAUCAUUGUAACCUGCCAAUGGAGAUGAGAUGUUCUGUCCUUGGGAAUGAAUUCAACUGAAUUAAGACCACCACAGUCAGAGGGGAUUUAGUUUUAAUAAUGGGUUUUCCUUCAAAUGUUAAUGACAUCACAUUGUUUAUUACAUUGUUGUGUUUCAAAAUGUUCUUAUAUUGGAGAAUGUGGUCAAUUUGGAAACAUUGGUAAAAUUUUUAUAAGCUCUGUUGUUAGAAAAGCAAUCUAGAUGUUGUUAGGUUAAGAAAUGGACUGUAACAAUGUGCUUGAUGCUCUAAACUACUCUAAUUUAAGAACUUAUACACUUGCACUUAUGCUUAUGAAUAAAGAGAAAUUUUACCUUCACUUGUUUGCCUCUUGCUUACAAAAAAUUUGACACUGUUAACCAAGUUAUUUGGAGAUAUUGUUAUAAUGUUAAGGCCUAUGAAAAAUUUGCAUGGGUGUUUUUAAAAAGAAAAUUGAUCAUUGUUUAGGGGGUGGGAAAGGGUACAGAGUAAAGAGCUUGUAAAAUAUAUUUGUAAAGUUUCAAAGACUCUCAAAACCGGCUAAUCAUAAACUCUUUUUUUAAAUAGUAUUUUAUUUUUCCAAAUACAUGCAAAGAUAGUUUUCAACAUUCCCCUUUGCAAAACCUUGUGUUUCUAAUUUUUCUCUCUCUCUUCCCCUUCCCUUCCCAAGAUACCAAGCAAACCAAUAUAAGUUAAACAUGUGUGGUUUUUCUAAACAUAUUUCCAUAGUCCUCAUGAUAUACAAAAAAUGAGUUCAAAACUAAAAAAAAAAAAAAAAAAAAGAAAAGAAAAAAGAAGAAAAAGAAAAAACCCCAAGCAAACAAACAACAAAAAGGUGAAAAUGCUAUUUUGACAUCCACAUUGUCUCCAUACUUCUGUCUCUGGAUACCACU